CUUCCGCUACAGGAACGCCUCAAGCGACGCCGGGAGCCGAAGAAACCGGUUUUUAAGCCCAGGUGAACUUCCUGGGGCCGGAGCGCUUGGCGAAAGGAAGGGCUCUUGCCUCCGUGGGCCGGAUGUUUUCACAACAGGUGUUUGUACAUGGGGUGGGGUUGACCCAAAAGAGAAUCAGGAACUGGAAGGGGCCGCGAAUCGGGAAGAAAGCAGAAGAAUGCCAGCAAAGCGAGGCGAGACGCUUUGCUGCAGCAGAAAAUGUUUGUUUUGGCAGGUGAACUUUACUAAUCUUUGAAUAGUUACAUAGGAUAAACCUGUCUGACUUCUGAUAAAUAGAAGUCUGACAACCCACGGGUAGAAACUGUUCUUCAGCCUGUUGGUGUGGCUGGCUAUGCUUCUUUAUCUCCUACCCUGUGGGAGGAGAGUGAAGAAUUGCUGACACAGUUAUAGAAGAUAGGGGAUCAAUGCGCUGGAAAGAAAAGAAAAAAGCACCCCAACUUGAAAUCAAGCUGUACUAGAUGAAAGAAGCUGAUUAAUGAUGGAAGAAAUUUAUGGGGAUUUCAAUCAGGGAAGCUUAUGGGUGUAACACAUGAAGAUGACUUGACUUGGUGGUUGUGGAUAAUCUUGUUCCAUGUCCACUUUUCACACAUAUGGAAUAAAUGGGAUACACCCCUAUUCAAAGUCCCCCAGGCUUUCUUCUGCUUUGUAAUUUACUCUUAAAAGAUUCUUGUUUCUAAGGGAGUAUAAUCCCACCGCACAUGUAUGGCACAGUGGGGGUUAG